rfam:Coprinopsis cinerea okayama7#130 chromosome 1 cont3.1, whole genome shotgun sequence.
GCUGGGAUGGCCGAGUGGUUAAGGCGAGUGAUUUGAAUGCAUCUCAAUAUCACUUGGUGUUUCACCGCGUAGGUUCAAAUCCUGCUUCCAGCG